UGAGGAAUAUUGGUCAAUGGGCGAGAGCCUGAACCAGCCAAAUCGCGUGAAGGAAGACUGCCUUAUGGGUUGUAAACUUCUUUUAUACAGGAAUAAAAAAGGGGACGUGUCCCUUAUUGCAUGUACUGUAUGAAUAAGCAUCGGCUAACUCCGUGCCAGCAGCCGCGGUAAUACGGAGGAUGCGAGCGUUAUCCGGAUUUAUUGGGUUUAAAGGGUGCGCAGGCGGGCUUUUAAGUCAGCGGUGAAAUCUCGGGGCUUAACUCCGAAACUGCCGUUGAAACUGGGAGUCUUGAGUAUGGAUGAAGUAGGCGGAAUUCGUUGUGUAGCGGUGACAUGCUUAGAUAUAACGAGGAACUCCGAUUGCGUAGGCAGCUUACUAAGCCAUAACUGACGCUCAAGCACGAAAGCGUGGGGAUCAAACAGGAUUAGAUACCCCUGGUAGUCCACGCCGUAAACGAUGAUUACUAGUUGUAUGCGAUAUACCGUAUGUGACUAAGCGAAAGCGAUAAGUAAUCCACCUGGGGAGUACGCCGGCAACGGUGAAACUCAAAUGAAUUGACGGGGUCAUAGCUGUUUCC
rnacentral:rRNA from 1 species